AACAUGCAUGUAUACACAUAUAAUAAGUAAACAAUAAAAAUAUAUACAUUCAUUAAUUUAUGCAUAGAAUCAAGCAUUAAAAAGUUCAAAAAAAAAAUUCAAAAUGGCAGAUUUUCUUUCUUUUUUAAUAUUGGCCUUCUAUGUUUUGGGUUAAGGGACAUAUGUAUUGUCACGACUUGAAACUCUCAUCGGGCCCGUGACAACCGUCGCGAUGUCCCAAUAGGCACUCAUUACCCCGAAUAUCGAUCGGAACCCCGCAAGGCUUAGCAUCAGCUUCUGCAUCUCCCCGGUGAGCGACAGUUAUUAAAUCUUGCAUUUUAAGAAAUCAUAAGUCGUUUCCAAAUUAAAGCAAUAAAAUAUUAUUUUCUGGCUCACAAGGGCAUUUUCGUCAUUUUUCUUCGAUAAUACCGAAACUCACCAAAAACAUGGUGUAAAAGCUAAAUAUGUUCAUACAUAUUUUAAAUCAGAUAACUAAAGUAUAAAAUUACUUUUACAAUGACAUGUGGGCCCCCAACUAACCAAUAAGAUGCGAGUUUGUGAACCUAUAAUUUUGACAAUGCAAGGCUAACUGAAGUCCUUGAUGCAAUCGGCUAUCUACCGGCUAUCCCGAACCUGAAAUGUGGGGAAUUGAGAGUUGUGAGAUUAUAAAAUCUCAGUGAGUAAACAGACACCAUCUAAACUAUCUAAAGGCGAGUAAAUGGAGACAAUUAAAAAUAAUUAACUUCAGCAAAUUUUUCACAUCACGAAUAUUCAUUUUAACCAAAUAAUCAAUAUGGCUUGUGAAUUACUCAAAACUUGGCUCAUGCCAAAUCCUGUACUCGGGGACACUUGGACUAGGGGUACCCAAUCGAGUCCGCCAAGGCUGUUAAAAAUUCAUAUUUCGCAUAAAUCAUAUUUUUAUUUUGAAACAUAGACGUUCCUUGGCGUUGACUGAGUCUCACUAUCACGCGGUGGUCCACGUGAAGUGCACUCAAAAAGCCCACCUCAGGAGAUACCCUAUGCGCCUCUACGAUCGAGGUGAGAAUAUAAAGGAGUUUACCGUGCCCCUCUAAUAGGCUGGCCCACGAAACCCCCCACCACUGCAGUAGCUAAUCUUUUAUCUACCACCUGAUUUAUAAAAUCUUUUUCUGCAUGAUAUGACAAUUUAUCGCAACCUAGCCUCUCAAGGCUAAAUACACAGUACAAAUAAUUCUAACACCAAAAUCAGUUUAGCCAUUCAUGCUUAUUUAUUGUCAUAAGCCAUUCAAUUUAAAACCAUAAAUUUACAACACAAGCAGGCAGUCUCGAUUACUCUAUUUUCAAAACCAGUAUUCGAUUUUUCAGAAAAUUUAUAAAAUCAUUUUAUAAAAUCACAAUUUCUCUUAAAACAUAGCAAUUUACCAUUUAAACCAAUUUUUCAGAAAAUCACACAAUUGUAUAAAACUACUCUAGAUAAUUAAGACGAUAAUAAGUUUACUCACAGUUUUCGAAAUCUAAAUUCGGGUACUCCAACUAUUACUCCUCGGGUGCGAUUUCUUUGCCCUUGCCGGAGGAUUUGCCACCUUGACAAAUUGCACAAUUAAGAGGUUUACUACUUUGGUACUAAACCAAAAUAAACUAAUUUAUACUACUAAUGCAUGAUAUGAAGUGCAAAAUGUCUAAAUUUUACCUAAACGAGAUGUUAGCCUAUUUUGAUCUUUUACCCGAUAAAUCGAUAUACGCGUCUGUUUAAACUCCAAAUUAAUUUUUUUCAGUUUCUAUACCUCAAUUGCACCCAAAUUGACUUAAUGUUCCUUAGUGUGGUGCAAAUUAUCAGUCUCGAUAGCAAAUUACGAAAAUACCCCUAGUGGGUAAAAAUUUAUAUUUUUGCUCUGAAAAUUCUCAUUAUUUUUCUAGGCACAUAAUUCAUCAUUAUUCAUCAUAAUUCCUCAAAUAAACAUCAAGAUCAGCACCCAAUAUUCCCCUAGAAAAUUCGGCCAAUAAUGGUAAUGGAGGAAAAUGAAUUCUUUUCUUGUUGUUUUGUUUCUAAAUUUGCUAAACUAAUUAAAAACACUAACAUAACUUAAAAUCAAAUUAUUCUAACUUCAUUCUCUCUCCAUACCCAUUUGGGCAGACAUGAAUUCACCAUGAAAACAUGAAAUCUAACAAUGAAAAAUAAGGAGAAAUGCAUGGGAAAGGUAGAUCACAAGUCAAAAUCAAGAAAUUUUACCUUUGAUUGUUUGAUUCCUUGAAAUCUACCAAUUUUCCUUUAAUUUUCCCACUUAGGUUUCUUGUUUUUUCCUUUCCUCCUUUUGUUCUUCCUUUUUCUUUGUUUGGC
rnacentral:lncRNA from 1 species